UCAUUAGAUCUUGCUUUGCUGAGAUGAAAUCCCAGCCACUUAAACUCACAAUUUUAACUGUUGUAGUGUCAGUUUUAGGCAUUUUUGCAGUUAUCGGAUGGUUUCUUUCCCAUCCCCACUCUCCCGUGAUUUCAGGCAUCAGUUUCUCCUCCACACCCAUAAAACUUCUUCUAUGUUCAAUUAUCAUUCCAACUUCGAUUCAUCUUCUUUUCCUUCAAACAUUCUUUAUCAGGUUUGUUUUAUUUGUGUUUGUUACAAAUGAACCCAAUUUCGUUGUGGGUUUUGUUAGUUUUCUUGAAUCUAGACCAUCGAGAUAAGAAUGUUGUGAUGGGUUUUGUUUUUCAAGAAUUAUCUCACUGAUACAUAUGAUUAAUGUUGUGAAUUUUUAUACAGAUUGGUUUCUUGUAGUGGGUUUUGGUGAUUAAGCACAAAAGUUUCAACUUUUAAGUAUGUUGAAGUUGAUAUAUUUAUUGUUGAAAUUAACAUUGUGUAUUGUAUAAUCUACAAUUUAGGUGGGAUUUGUUAGUAAUGACGAUGCUUGUAAAAUGUAAAGGGUUGAGUUUUUGCUUGAAUAUGCUUACGGAUGAUUAACCCAAACCCUUUGAAUGUUUCGCAACACAAUUCGGCUAUAAAUAGCAGUGCCCCAUUUCUCGCGUUGAUUGCGAAUAAAGAAAUGGUGCUUUACCCUAUUCAUUUUAUAGCUCAAGAAGCAACAAAUUCUGACGAGACAGAAAUUCCGUGUGCAAAAUCGAAAAUUGAAGUGCCUCUUAACAAAUGGGUUCACAUUGGUUGUGAGAAAUACAAUUAGCAAGCUUCAAGAAGUCUUAUUGAGUCAUAGUAUAUUUGUGCUUGUAUUGUUGAUAAAGUCAAUAGUUUAAUCUCUUUAAUUGUUGUUGGGUUUAAAUAAGGAUUCUACGGAUAUUAUGCGACUUUACAUUAAUGGCGAGAUUAGGGGAGAGAUGUAUGCAACGUGCACUUCUGACAGUUUGAAAAACAUUUCUUUAUUUGGGGCUGAUGAAGAUGAUCUGGUUGAGGGUUACGCCGUUGUCGCAGUAAUAAUGCUCGGAUUACCUUUCUGCCCUUUGUUUUCAUAGUUAUUGUUGUUGUUUUACGUUGUUAGGACCCUCCAAUGCAACUACACAUAAGAUGGUUUGAAUGGCACUCGUAUCGAAGAAGAUACCGAUGGUGCGUGGAUUGUCAUUGGUGUCAAGGUAAGUUCUAACUUCAGAUACAUUCUAUGUUUUCAGUAUUUUUAAAGGAGUUUAAGUUGGUGAAGUGGUCUUCUUUGCCUUUACUUAUUUGCUCUGCCUCCACCGAAAGUAAAUACCCCAAGUUCGAUCCUUGGUCCUAAUUUUUGCUUUCUAUUUUCUUUAUUUUGUGUACACGUCAUGGGCUAGCUCCAUGGUGUUUACUUCAGUGAUACAAUUUCAACUGAAUGUAAAACAACAAAGACUGCAAUGGUAAUUAUCUAAUUUGUUACAGACUAAUUUUGUAAGCUGGAAAUUAUUCUGAAUCAUGAUCGAUAAAACUUUUGUAUAUAGAAUGUUAGGUGACAAAACCUCGAGGUAUUUACAAGAGAAUAAAUGAUACGAUAAAUAUGAUUAAAUGUGUGAUCUAAGACCGUGGGGUAUGGUGGGGCGUGGGUUGGGGGCAUGGUGCGACACGUGGACUAUGGGACACCCAAGACCAAAAGCCAAUUUCAAAGGGGUAUGGUGGGGCGUGGGUUGGGUGGCGUGGAAAAAAAGUCAAUUUCAAGGGGCUAGGGCUCUUGGCCAAUGACGUUCCGCCAUGUCAUGUGGUAGCCCCGCCCCAUGCUCGGCCUUAAACUCCCGCCCAAGCGGCCACGCCCAAACCCAAGCCCACCCGGGGUGGUGACUUGGGCGUUUCUCUCCAACCCACGCCCCAACCCCCGCCCCAUACCCCAUAGUCUAAUAAAAUAAAGGCAACUACAAAUUGAAAAUGUGUAUGAAGUUUACCAUUAAUGGCGUCUAUUGGGUGGCUGUUUAAUCAUGUGUUAUAUUAAUGGCUGAUAAUCAUAUUUUAUAGUUGAUAAUGUCUGUACCUGGCUUCUUUUCAGAUACUAUGUUCUAUAUAUGUAUUUGAUUUAUUUUUGGUAUCCAUAUGUAUGAGGUUUUGUGCCACAAACAAAUGGAACAGGUGGUGGAGGAGGGUACUAGUGGUGGGUGGAGGAGCUGUAGGUUAAUUUGCAGUUCGCUGGCUAUGCAGUUACAACUACAUGUUAAAGUGAAAACAUAGACCGUCUUUUGGCAGUUGGUGCUGAAUAGGAACUCGACUACAUAUAAGAGCGGACCAUGUGUAUCAUACAAGCUUUGUAAGCAAGUUCUAUUUUGAAAUGUCAAGGUAAAUAAACGUUGUUCAUUGCCCAAAUUGGAAAAAUUAGGAGCCGUCGGCCACUGGUGUUCACCGCCACUACCACGGUUGACGAUUGCGAGAAGUGGGCACCGCCAUUCGACCAUAGUCUGGAAAUUCGUUCGCUUGGCUUGGAGCAUAGUCAAUCUAUCUCACUCUCGGUAAUCGGUUUUGUUUCUCAAAGCCCUAAUUAGAGACUUUGUUAGGUGUCUGUGUUGUUUUGAUGAUAUCUUUAUAUUUUCGAUACCGGUUUAGGGUUACACGACUGAAUUUCUUAAGUUACAGUUUGCUUGGUAUGUCUCUGUUUUGAAUUUGUUGGCCAUUAUGGAAAUCGAUGGGAUGUGUAUAGAAUUUAGGCCUGUUGUAUAACUUACAUUAUGCCUGUUAUAGUUCCGGUCAUGUUCUUGUGCUUCCAGGGCUUUCUGAAUCAUAACAAGUUGUCUGUGAUGCCGCCAAGAUCCAUGGCGUUUUUUAUCUUCAAUUCACCCAGUGCAAGAAUUUGUUUUAUUUGUGAGAUGAAGGCUACUGAGCAUCCCGGUGCCGCCGUCGAUGAAGAUGUUCAAUCUGUGGUUAUCGCCAGAUUGGUGGGAAGAACUUAACGAAUCAAGGAACUCAAAAAUUGGCGAAUUCCGUACAAUUGGCCUCACUCCUUAGUCCUCACUGUUGACUUUUGUGGAUUCUCUCGAGGCUUUUGAGGGAGGUAUUGUGUGUGUCAACCGUUCACAUCCAUGCUUCUCUCAAGCUCCAUGGGGUUGGAAAAAGCAUAGCGAUUUUGGCUGUGAACUUUGAGAAUGGGAACUUGAGAAUUACUUGAGCGUGAAGAAGCCUUGGGGUUGGUAUACACCUCCAUCUUCUAUGUUUUAUGAUGACAAAAUGUCAAUGCACCAAACCAUUUGGUACGUGUAAUAUGUAAAAGUCAAACUCCGCAAAGACAAAAAGUGUAUAUGUCAUUAUGACAUUAAAAUACCUGUCCACCGGACGGGUAUUAAACUAGUUAAAAUAAGAUCAACUUAAUCGACAAGAUAAUCCAAUAUCACUACGGACAUUGAUAACACUUGAAUUACCAAUAUCUGUGUGUACAUAAGUCUUGUAUGACAUAUAUAUACUGUGACUCAUGUGAGUACAUAUAUGAAUAAGCAUAUUAGUAUGUUUUACGCAUGGUACAUAUAUAUACAACCACAUAUGAAUGGAUAUAUGAUACGGAUCCACCAUGUAAACCCGAAGCUGCUCCAUUCGAAGAUGAUCCACUUCCCGCAUACAAC